rnacentral:rRNA from 1 species
GAUGAACGCUGGCGGCGUGCCUAAUACAUGCAAGUCGAGCGAACGGACGAGAAGCUUGCUUCUCUGAUGUUAGCGGCGGACGGGUGAGUAACACGUGGAUAACCUACUUAUAAGACUGGGAUAACCUCGGGAAACCGGAGCUAAUACCGGAUAAUAUUUUGAACCGCAUGGUUCAAAAGUGAAAGACGGUCUUGCUGUCACUUAUAGAUGGAUCCGCGCUGCAUUAGCUAGUUGGUAAGGUAACGGCUUACCAAGGCAACGAUGCAUAGCCGACCUGAGAGGGUGAUCGGCCACACUGGAACUGAGACACGGUCCAGACUCCUACGGGAGGCAGCAGUAGGGAAUCUUCCGCAAUGGGCGAAAGCCUGACGGAGCAACGCCGCGUGAGUGAUGAAGGUCUUCGGAUCGUAAAACUCUGUUAUUAGGGAAGAACAUAUGUGUAAGUAACUGUGCACAUCUUGACGGUACCUAAUCAGAAAGCCACGGCUAACUACGUGCCAGCAGCCGCGGUAAUACGUAGGUGGCAAGCGUUAUCCGGAAUUAUUGGGCGUAAAGCGCGCGUAGGCGGUUUUUUAAGUCUGAUGUGAAAGCCCACGGCUCAACCGUGGAGGGUCAUUGGAAACUGGAAAACUUGAGUGCAGAAGAGGAAAGUGGAAUUCCAUGUGUAGCGGUGAAAUGCGCAGAGAUAUGGAGGAACACCAGUGGCGAAGGCGACUUUCUGGUCUGUAACUGACGCUGAUGUGCGAAAGCGUGGGGAUCAAACAGGAUUAGAUACCCUGGUAGUCCACGCCGUAAACGAUGAGUGCUAAGUGUUAGGGGGUUUCCGCCCCUUAGUGCUGCAGCUAACGCAUUAAGCACUCCGCCUGGGGAGUACGACCGCAAGGUUGAAACUCAAAGGAAUUGACGGGGACCCGCACAAGCGGUGGAGCAUGUGGUUUAAUUCGAAGCAACGCGAAGAACCUUACCAAAUCUUGACAUCCUUUGACAACUCUAGAGAUAGAGCUUUCCCCUUCGGGGGACAAAGUGACAGGUGGUGCAUGGUCGUCGUCAGCUCGUGUCGUGAGAUGUUGGGUUAAGUCCCGCAACGAGCGCAACCCUUAAGCUUAGUUGCCAUCAUUAAGUUGGGCACUCUAAGUUGACUGCCGGUGACAAACCGGAGGAAGGUGGGGAUGACGUCAAAUCAUCAUGCCCCUUAUGAUUUGGGCUACACACGUGCUACAAUGGACAAUACAAAGGGCAGCGAAACCGCGAGGUCAAGCAAAUCCCAUAAAGUUGUUCUCAGUUCGGAUUGUAGUCUGCAACUCGACUACAUGAAGCUGGAAUCGCUAGUAAUCGUAGAUCAGCAUGCUACGGUGAAUACGUUCCCGGGUCU